rnacentral:sRNA from 1 species
GCUCUGUGGAGCUGCGCCUGCCAACUCAUUGCUUUCUGCUGUGCUGUGAUCCUGCAGUCAGUUGCCGCUGUUGCUACUGCAAUCAUUUGCACCAAACUGAGCCAGAGAAGUUCCCUCUUUUAACAUAAAGAGUCAAGAAAUUGGAGCAUGGCUAUGAGCAAUGGAAACAAUGAUUUUGUGGUUCUGAGCAACAGCAGCAUCACAACCAGUGCUGCUAACCCGAGUCCCCUCACCCCCUGUGAUGGAGACCAUGCAGCCCAGCAGCUCACACCCAAAGAAGCAACAAGAACAAAAGUGAGUCCAAAUGGAUGCCUGCAACUUAAUGGCACAGUCAAAUCAUCCUUUCUGCCUUUAGACAACCAAAGAAUGCCUCAGAUGUUACCCCAAUGCUGCCAUCCUUGCCCAUACCAUCACCCUUUGACUAGCCAUAGCAGUCACCAAGAGUGCCAUCCCGAGGCUGGCCCUGCAGCACCCUCUGCUUUGGCCUCGUGUUGCAUGCAGCCACACUCCGAGUAUUCUGCAUCUCUUUGUCCAAAUCAUUCACCUGUGUAUCAGACUACGUGCUGUCUUCAGCCCUCUCCAUCCUUCUGCCUGCAUCAUCCGUGGCCUGACCAUUUUCAGCAUCAGCCUGUGCAACAGCACAUAGCCAACAUAAGGUAAGUGAUCUGAAAGUUUUGCUUUUAGCAUUCAACUAAUGCCACGUGAACAUGACAGCUUGUGUUUAUUUUCCUGAAAGGAGAGGAGAAAAAUGUGGCACAGAAAGAAAACAUGAAAACGCAUAUUCUGUGGAUUGUGUGAAGCCAACAAAAACGCAAAUAAAAUAAUACUGUAUAUCGAUUUUAUCCACUGACUUGUUAGUCAAAUCCUCCCUUCC